ensembl:snRNA U6 U6 spliceosomal RNA
GUGCUCACUUCGCCAGCAUAUAUACUAAAAUUGGAACGAUACAGAGAAGGUUAGCGUGGCCCCUGUGCAAGGAUGACAUGCAAAUUCCUGAAGGGUUCCAUAUUUUU